rnacentral:rRNA from 1 species
GAUGAACGCUGGCGGCGUGCCUAAUACAUGCAAGUCGAGCGAACGGACGAGAAGCUUGCUUCUCUGAUGUUAGCGGCGGACGGGUGAGUAACACGUGGAUAACCUACCUAUAAGACUGGGAUAACUUCGGGAAACCGGCGCUAAUACCGGAUAAUAUUUUGAACCGCAUGGUUCAAAAGUGAAAGACGGUCUUGCUGUCACUUCUAGAUGGAUCCGCGCUGCAUUAGCUAGUUGGUAAGGUAACGGCUUACCAAGGCAACGAUGCAUAGCCGACCUGAGAGGGUGAUCGGCCACACUGGAACUGAGACACGGUCCAGACUCCUACGGGAGGCAGCAGUAGGGUAUGUUCCGCAAUGGGCGAAAGCCUGACGGAGCAACGCCGCGUGAGUGAUGAAGGUCUUCGGAUCGUAAAACUCUGUUAUUAGGGAAGAACAUAUGUGUAAGUAACUGUGCACAGCUUGACGGUACCUAAUCAGAAAGCCACGGCUAACUACGUG